UACAGAGGGUGCGAGCGUUGUCCGGAAUCACUGGGCGUAAAGGGCGCGUAGGCGGCGCGGUAAGCGUGCGGUGAAAGCCCGGGGCUCAACCCCGGGUCGGCCGUGCGGACUGCCGGGCUAGAGGGUGGUAGAGGCGAGUGGAAUUCCCGGUGUAGCGGUGAAAUGCGCAGAUAUCGGGAGGAACACCAGUAGCGAAGGCGGCUCGCUGGGCCACACCUGACGCUGAGACGCGAAAGCUAGGGAGCGAACGAGG
rnacentral:rRNA from 1 species